rnacentral:rRNA from 1 species
GAUGAACGCUGGCGGCGUGCCUAAUACAUGCAAGUCGAGCGAACAGAUGAGGAGCUUGCUCCUCUGACGUUAGCGGCGGACGGGUGAGUAACACGUGGAUAACCUACCUAUAAGACUGGGAUAACUUCGGGAAACCGGAGCUAAUACCGGAUAAUAUAUUGAACCGCAUGGUUCAAUAGUGAAAGACGGUCUUGCUGUCACUUAUAGAUGGAUCCGCGCCGCAUUAGCUAGUUGGUAAGGUAACGGCUUACCAAGGCAACGAUGCGUAGCCGACCUGAGAGGGUGAUCGGCCACACUGGAACUGAGACACGGUCCAGACUCCUACGGGAGGCAGCAGUAGGGAAUCUUCCGCAAUGGGCGAAAGCCUGACGGAGCAACGCCGCGUGAGUGAUGAAGGUCUUCGGAUCGUAAAACUCUGUUAUUAGGGAAGAACAAAUGUGUAAGUAACUGUGCACAUCUUGACGGUACCUAAUCAGAAAGCCACGGCUAACUACGUG